GAUGAACGCUGGCGGCGUGCCUAAUACAUGCAAGUCGAGCGAACGGACGAGAAGCUUGCUUCUCUGAUGUUAGCGGCGGACGGGUGAGUAACACGUGGAUAACCUACCUAUAAGACUGGGAUAACUUCGGGAAACCGGAGCUAAUACCGGAUAAUAUUUUGAACCGCAUGGUUCAAAAGUAAACGACGGUCUUGCUGUCACUUAUAGACGGAUCCGCGCUGCAUUAGCUAGUUGGUAAGGUAACGGCUUACCAAGGCAACGAUGCAUCGCCGACCUGAGAGGGUGACCGGCCACACUGCAACUGAGACACGGUCCAGACUACUACGGGGGGCAGCAGUAGGGAAUCUUCCGCAAUGGGCGAAAGCCUGGCGGAGCGACGCCACGUGAGUGAUGAAGGUCUUCGGUUCGUAAAACUCUGUUAUUAGGGAAGAACAUAUGUGUAAGUAACUGUGCACAUCUUGACGGUGCCUAAUCAGAAAGCCGCGGCUACCUACGUG
rnacentral:rRNA from 1 species